rnacentral:rRNA from 1 species
CCUACGGGAGGCUGCAGUGGGGGAUAUUGCACAAUGGGGGAAACCCUGAUGCAGCGACGCCGCGUGGGCGAAGAAGUAUUUCGGUAUGUAAAGCCCUAUCAGCAGGGAAGAAGAAAUGACGGUACCUGAGUAAGAAGCACCGGCUAAAUACGUGCAAGCAGCCGCGGUAAUACGUAUGGUGCAAGCGUUAUCCGGAUUUACUGGGUGUAAAGGGAGCGCAGGGGGUACGGGAAGCCUGGUGGGAAAGCCAGCGGCCCAACCGCGGGACUGCAUUGGGAACUACCGGGCUGGAGUGCCGGAGAGGUAGGCGGAAUUCGUGGUGUAGCGGUGAAAUGCGUAGAUAUUAGGAGGAACACCGAUGGCGAAGGCAGCCUACUGGACGGUGACUGACGCUGAGGCUCGAAAGCGUGGGGAGCAAACAGGAUUAGAUACCCCGGUAGUC